UACGAAGGGGGCUAGCGUUGCUCGGAAUCACUGGGCGUAAAGGGUGCGUAGGCGGGUCUUUAAGUCAGGGGUGAAAUCCUGGAGCUCAACUCCAGAACUGCCUUUGAUACUGAGAGCUUGAGUCGGGAGAGGUGAGUGGAACUGCGAGUGUAGAGGUGAAAUUCGUAGAUAUUCGCAAGAACACCAGUGGCGAAGGCGGCUCACUGGCCCGGUACUGACGCUGAGGUGCGAAAGCGUGGGGAGCAACAGG
rnacentral:rRNA from 1 species